CCUACAAUGCAUGACAACGAUGGGACCAACUCAAAGCCUCCAAGCCAUGGGCCUGGACUGCUUCCUAGACAGCUCUCUGGCUUGCUCCCUCCUUCACACUUUGACCUCAUGGCACCAAUGGUUGUGCCACCUGACACUCUACCCUACUGAGGCCAUUUGCCCAGAGUGGAUUUGCCAUACAUAGAUUUUUUCAGCAUUAAAAAACCUCAGCAU